rnacentral:rRNA from 1 species
GCUCAGAACGAACGCUGGCGGCAGGCCUAACACAUGCAAGUCGAGCGGACCUUCGGGUUAGCGGCGGACGGGUGAGUAACGCGUGGGAACGUGCCCCUCAGUUCAGGAUAGCCCCGGGAAACUGGGAUUAAUACUGGAUACGCCCUUCGGGGGAAUGAGGGAUCGGCCCGCGUUGGAUUAGGUAGUUGGUGGGGUAACGGCCUACCAAGCCGACGAUCCAUAGCUGGUUUGAGAGGAUGAUCAGCCACACUGGGACUGAGACACGGCCCAGACUCCUACGGGAGGCAGCAGUGGGGAAUCUUAGACAAUGGGGGAAACCCUGAUCUAGCCAUGCCGCGUGAGUGACGAAGGCCCUAGGGUCGUAAAGCUCUUUCACCANGGGAAGAUAAUGACGGUACCUGGAGAAGAAACCCCGGCUAACUCCGUGCCAGCAGCCGCGGUAAUACGGAGGGGGUUAGCGUUGUUCGGAAUUACUGGGCGUAAAGCGCGCGUAGGCGGACUGUUAAGUCGGGGGUGAAAUCCCGGGGCUCAACCCCGGAACUGCCUUCGAUACUGGCAGUCUGGAGUCCGAGAGAGGUGAGUGGAACUCCGAGUGUAGAGGUGAAAUUCGUAGAUAUUCGGAAGAACACCAGUGGCGAAGGCGGCUCACUGGCUCGGUACUGACGCUGAGGUGCGAAAGUGUGGGGAGCAAACAGGAUUAGAUACCCUGGUAGUCCACACCGUAAACGAUGAAUGCCAGACGUCGGGCAGCAUGCUGUUCGGUGUCACACCUAACGGAUUAAGCAUUCCGGCUGGGGAGUACGGCCGCAAGGUUAAAACUUCAAAGGAAUUGACGGGGGCCCGCACAAGCGGUGGAGCAUGUGGUUUAUUCGAAGCAACGCG